rnacentral:rRNA from 1 species
AGGGUUUGAUCAUGGCUCAGGACGAACGCUGGCGGCGCGCCUAACACAUGCAAGUCGAACGAGAGAUGAAGAGCUUGCUCUUCAAAUCGAGUGGCGAACGGGUGAGUAACGCGUGAGUAACCUGCCUUUCAGAGAGGAAUAACAUUUGGAAACGAAUGGUAAUACCACAUAACAUUACGUUCUCGCAUGGGGAUGUAAUCAAAGAUUUAUCGCUGAGAGAUGGACUCGCGUCCGAUUAGCUGGAUGGUGAGGUAACGGCCCACCAUGGCGACGAUCGGUAGCCGGACUGAGAGGUUGAACGGCCACAUUGGGACUGAGACACGGCCCAG